UAGUUUAGUAUGUCGUCCGAAAUGUGACGUCACGUGUCACCUGUUUGUGUUUCGUCCAAUCACCAGGCAUCACCAUCUACUCCGUGGGCACGGCGUGGGCACCGCUGGAUGACCUCAGAGUGAUGUCAUCAGAGCCCAAAGACAGUCACACCUUCUUCACCAGAGAGUUCAGCGGCCUGAUGGAGUUCGUCCCGGCGCUGGUCCGAGGAAUCUGCAGAGACUUCACCGAGAACAACUGAAGACAUACAACACACUCACUCUUCAUCUUCCACCUGAACCUUUUCAAAUCCUUUUAGGAGGCAAAAUAGCACAACAUGAUUAAGUUUUACUCUCAAAGAAGUGAACUAUCUACAGAUUCUUUGAAAUAUUGGAUUCAAGUUUCAGUUUUCUAGAUUUCAAAACUGGAUAAUCUGAGUUGACUUGAAACAGGAAAUCAAACAAAAUGUCUUCACAAACAUAGAACACUCACACACUCUGUAUAUAAAGUACUCAAUAAUACUACAAACUCGUGUACAUAAAAGACUCGUAAUCACCAAAAACUUCUUUUUCUAUUCAAGUUUUCUUUGAGCUGUUGGGAAAUUAUUAACAAUGGAUCAAUAUUAUCAACAGUAAAUCCAGAAUCAAUCAGUCGUCACUGAUUCGCUGAACGUCAUUACAGCUGAUAAUAAUAAUAAAAUGAGCAUUUAUUAAACCAAUUUUCUCAUUUAGCCCUCAGAGUUUAAAAACAAGCCUGAAGCACAGAAUUGAUUACUAAGGGAGAAAAACCUAUUUUUUAUUCGAGUUGUACCUCAACAAAUCAGUUAAAUGUUAUUAGAAGAAAUUUUACUUUUCUGGUUUAAUUUGUAAAUUAUGAUAACAAGAAAAUGAGCCCAAACAUUGAAGAAAAAAAAAACAUCACAAUUUUUAAAAAAUUCUCAUUAUCAUGAGAAACAUGUCAUAAUUAAAUAUAAAAUAAAUAAAACCUGUAUCUCAUAAUUCUGAGCUGCAAAACCAGAAAUCUAUUCUAAACUUCAAAGUCUUCUUAUAAUAAAUGAGAAAUUCUUAGUUUGUUAAUUGCAGUUAAUACAAGAAUUACAAGGAAGCAAGCUGAUAAUUAAAUCUUAUAAUUAUUGUCAUGUACAUCAAAUAAAUUCAGUGCUAAAAUGGAACAAAGUUUACUUUUCAGGAUUCAUCUGGUAUAAGAAAAAAAAACAUUUAACAGGUCUGGAUCUUGUAAUUACACAAAAAAAAUUAUGUGAAAAAUGUCAAAUUGUGAAUUAUUUUUCUAGUUAUUAGCAGAUUUAUAAUUAGAGGAAAAUUAACCCACGACUUCCAAGAAACUAUUUCAAAAUAAAGAUGCUUUUAAUUAAAAGAUUUCAUUUUUGCAAAAUAUAGUUUUGUCGGUAGAAUUCUUUUUUACAUAAACUACAUUAAUUACAUUUCAUUUGUUCUAUUUCUUAAAUCCAAAUGAAUUUUAGUUAUUUUUUUCCAGUGGACGGUGAACGAGUGAUUUUAAAUCCAUUAAACUUCUUUUAGGUGUGAUUUCAGGAAAUUUAACUCACUUUUGGUGCAAUUGAGACAAAAAAUCUGUUUUAAGUUUCCUGAAUCUCCUGCAGAAAAAUGAAGAAAACCUUAAACUGCAUGUUAUUUUUCUGAUGGUUAAAUGAAAUCGUUUCUGGUUUUAUCCGACAUAUUUUCAUCUAUAAAUCAUGCUGCAGCUCAAUAACUCUCCUGAUGUACAUUUUAAAACCUGCAGAUUCUGUUUUUAUUCUUUCAUCUGUCAUCUUUCAGUGACUCAAAUAUUUACUUUAACUUUAAAAAUGUUAAUUUAAACUCAUCUUUGGUUAUUUUACGAGCAGAUUCUGAGGGAAUCUGAAUAAUAAGGACCAAAGUUUUUCUAUUUGACCGUCUGGAAACAACUUUUUCUUUCAUGUUUCAACUUUAAUAAACUCUCAUUUACGGUUAAAUAUCAUAUUUUAUGUUAGAAUGAGUGAAUGUGAAUCAGAAUCAAGAGGAAAUAUGUUUGUUUAAUGCUGUGGAUUUCUACUGCAGGCGUCACGGUGGAAAAAAGUUAUGCUCACAGAAGAAAAUUAGUGCAUUGAUAAAACAUGUUCAGUGAUUUUAUUGGUAUUUUAAUAUUUUUCAAACUAGAUGAAGUCUGAAGUGUUUGUUACUUUCAUAUUUUUAUAAGUAAAAAUACCAAAAAAGGUGUGAAUCAUAAAAAUUCAUGUGAAUUUUAUUAGAGUCUGCAUAGACACCAGUUACUGCUAUGCUAGUUAGCUUUUAGCAGGACUACUUUAUCUGCAUUAUGAUUAUAAAACCUAAUUUAUGUAACAAAUCUAAUUUUAAUCUGUUGAAGCAUCAAAACUAAGUUUUCAAACAUCUAAAAACAGAAAAAAGCAGCUGAAUUAGCUUCUGCUAAGGCUAAAAGCUAAUGUUUAGCUGAAAUAGCUUGAGUGCACUAACUGCAGUUUUUUUUUUGUUUUGUUUUGUUUUUUUUUACAUCUUUUCAGGCUAUUUUCUUUAGCCAUUACAAAUAUUACAUUAUAACAUGAUUUUAUGGGGAGAUAAAACACUUUGAAUUAAAUGAUUGUUUAGAAAAUGAUCAGAAAAGGAGAAACUUCAUACAAGGCUUGAAGUUAGCUGUUAGCAUUGAUUAGCUUGUGCACUUUUGACCUAUUUCCAGGAUGUUUUUUCACCAAAUAUUCCAAAUUAUAUGCUAUAACAUGUUUUAUGGAGAGGUAUGAUGUUUUAAAGUCAUUUACUUUGGUCACACAAAGCAGCAAAACUUAGCUUUUAAAAAUUAGCAAGAAGGCUAAGGUAUUUUAGCUAGCUUGAAUGCAGUCACUGCUUUUUAUGUUAUCACCUUAAAAUAUCAUAAAUUAUAUGAUAAAACCUGUUUUAAUGAGAUCAUUAAAAAUACUGUUACUGUGCUGAAGUUUUUUCUUUCAAAAAAGAGUUUGUUUUUUACGGUAAAUGGCUGAUUAGCAAACAAUCAAAAAAUCUAUCGUCAUUCACAUAAAUAUUACAUUUCAUGGUUGAAACUUUUCAAAGGUGAAUAUUUGCAGCUUGUACUCAUUUUGAAUAUUCAUGUCGAAUAACAAAUUACAUUUUUAGGGUAUUGGAGUGAAAUCUAGCUCUUUUAAAUGACUAAACAAGGAAAAAGGGGCUAAUUUAGCUUUAGCUUAGGCUAACGGGAACUACAGAUUUAUUUUAUUUCCCUAUUUUUAAAUGACUUACAGUUAAAUUAGAUGUUAAAAAGUCAGUUGCUGUUUUUUUCUAUAAAUGUUUCUUUAUAAAUUAAAAUUUUACUUCUAAAAUAAAGGAAAUAAUCAGAAAAUGAGUCAUCAUUUAAUUAAAUACUCCUCAUGGUUUUAAUUUUACUUGGUUGGUUUUCUGGUUUUCAGCUUCUCCUUAUUUCAGAUAUUUAUGUUGAAAAACGAAUUUUUAUGCUUUUUUAAACACUGUAACGAGUUCUUAGUGAGAUUUAAUGUUAAAAUGUUGCAUAAACUUUUCAUCUGAUGGUUUCAGCUUUAUGUAUUUUAUCUCACACCAAAUUUUUAAAUGUUUUGUUGGUCAGAUUAAACAAAAUAUUAGAAAAUGUCACUUUAACAGUGAUUCUAUUUUCAUACACUUGUGAUCAAUACAGUUAUUGAUCUGAUCCAAUAAUCAGCAGAGAACUUUCUGCUUUUCAUACUUUAAUUAAAUUUACCUGUGUGAUUUUUUCCUUCGUGUCACCUGUCAGGAUUCACAUCAGCCAGAAGAAUAUUUGAAACAUGUUAAUUAUAAUCUUUAAAAGGUUUAUUUUGAAGUUAAACUGACUUUCACUGAAAUAAUCUGAAACCUGCAUCACAGGAUGAGUUUAAAGGGUUAAUGUUACCUGUGGAAUCCAGGUGUUUCCAUGGUCUUGUCCAGAUGUUUCCAGCUGCUGGAACAAUUAAAAAAACAUGAAAAAUCAGACUUAUUUUCUGUGUGAAUGAAACAUGCGAUGGGAUUCGGUUGUUACCUGAUGAUUCUGUCCUUUUCUUCUGUAUUUAUUUCUUGUUUCCAAUAAAGAUUAGUUGUUUUUACCAGUUUGCCCUGAUGUUCAUGUUAC
ensembl:lncRNA